rnacentral:rRNA from 1 species
GACGAACGCUGGCGGCGUGCUUAACACAUGCGAGUCGAACGGAAAGGCCCUGCUUUUGUGGGGUGCUCGAGUGGCGAACGGGUGAGUAACACGUGAGUAACCUGCCCUUGACUUUGGGAUAACUUCAGGAAACUGGGGCUAAUACCGGAUAGGAGCUCCUGCUGCAUGGUGGGGGUUGGAAAGUUUCGGCGGUUGGGGAUGGACUCGCGGCUUAUCAGCUUGUUGGUGGGGUAGUGGCUUACCAAGGCUUUGACGGGUAGCCGGCCUGAGAGGGUGACCGGCCACAUUGGGACUGAGAUACGGCCCAGACUCCUACGGGAGGCAGCAGUGGGGAAUAUUGCACAAUGGGCGGAAGCCUGAUGCAGCAACGCCGCGGGCGGGAUGACGGCCUUCGGGUUGUAAACCGCUUUCGCCUGUGACGAAGCGUGAGUGACGGUAAUGGGUAAAGAAGCACCGGCUAACUACGUGC